rnacentral:rRNA from 1 species
UACAGAGGGGGCAAGCGUUGUUCGGAAUUACUGGGCGUAAGGGGCGCGUAGGUGGCCUUCUAAGUUGAACGUGAAAUCCCUGGGCUCAACCCAGGAACUGCGUCCAAGACUGGGAGGCUUGAAUCCGGGAGAGGGAUGCGGAAUUCCAGGUGUAGCGGUGAAAUGCGUAGAUAUCUGGAGGAACACCGGUGGCGAAGGCGGCAUCCUGGACCGGCAUUGACGCUGAGGCGUGAAAGCCAGGGGAGCAAACGGG